GUAUAGGAGACAGCAGUCGCCGCGGUAAUACGUAGGGUGCAAGCGUUAAUCGGAAUUACUGGGCGUAAAGCGUGCGCAGGCGGUUAUAUAAGACAGAUGUGAAAUCCCCGGGCUCAACCUGGGAACUGCAUUUGUGACUGUAUAGCUAGAGUACGGCAGAGGGGGAUGGAAUUCCGCGUGUAGCAGUGAAAUGCGUAGAUAUGCGGAGGAACACCGAUGGCGAAGGCAAUCCCCUGGGCCUGUACUGACGCUCAUGCACGAAAGCGUGGGGAGCAAACAGGAUUAGAUACCCCUGUAGUCCCUGUCUCUUAUAC
rnacentral:rRNA from 1 species